rnacentral:rRNA from 2 species
UGGAGCUUGCUCCAUGAUUCACGGCGGACGGGUGAGUAAUGCCUAGGAAUCUGCCUGGUAGUGGGGGACAACGUUUCGAAAGGAACGCUAAUACCGCAUACGUCCUACGGGAGAAAGUGGGGGAUCUUCGGACCUCGCGCUAUCAGAUGAGCCUAGGUCGGAUUAGCUAGUUGGUGAGGUAAAGGCUCACCAAGGCGACGAUCCGUAACUGGUCUGAAGGAUGAUCAGUCACACUGGAACUGAGACACGGUCCAGACUCCUACGGGAGGCAGCAGUGGGGAAUAUUGGACAAUGGGCGAAAGCCUGAUCCAGCCAUGCCGCGUGUGUGAAGAAGGUCUUCGGAUUGUAAGCACUUUAAGUUGGGAGGAAGGGC